AAGGAUUUGACAAGACAGUUACAGCAAGCAAGAAGGAAGCUUGAAACUUUUGAAGCCAAUGGAGAAAAAGAAAGUGCAAGUCUUGGAUCUCGAACAAGCUCCACUGGUUCCCUAAAUACUCUUACAAAUGGUGAUGGACCAAAUUCUCAUUCUCAGCCAGAGCCAACUCAUACAUAUAGGCAGUCCAGUCCUCCAGAGCAGGUAGGAACAUUAUCAUCAUUAAGUCCCACAAGUUUGACCUAUCAAUAUUAAAGCAGUCCAGCCCUCCAGAGCAGGUAUGGUCCUUAUCACCCCAAGUUCAACAAGUAUGACCCAUUCAAACAGGCAAUUAAGUCCUUCACAGCAUGUAGGUUUAUAACCCCCUCAAACCUAACAAGAAUGGCCAAUAUACAUACAAUAGAUCCAGUCCUUAGUGUUUGACAAGGGGCCUAUGUGGCCGAGUGGUCUAAGUAGUUACUACUGAAAUCACUAGCCAGUCAACACAGAGGUUGUGAGUACAAACGCUGCUCUUGCAAGUGCACUUGACUCCAAUCUUAAUUGACUAGGAUUGUCAGUUUUCCUAUUGAAGGUCAGUGGUUCUCUCAGGGCAUUCCGGCUUCCUCCACCAAAAAAACUGAUCACCAUGAAAUAGCCUAAAUGCGGUGCUUAAAAGUGGUGUUAAAACACAAAAAAUCAAAAUCAAUUAGUGUCUGACAAGUACUGCCCCAUACAUAGUCAGUUUUGUUCUUUCAGAGCUGGCAGGAUAUUUAUCACUUUCAAGUAAAAAAAGUACCACACAAUACUAAGGUAAAGGCAGUCCAGUCUUCUAGAACAAGUAUUUAUAAAAAUAAGAGUAUAUGGUAUGAUAGCUGAUGCGACAACUCUCCACAAGAGACCACAUGACACAGAAAUUAACAAUUUUAGGUCACCGAUAUUCUUCAUUGCUGUCACAUUUAUGAAAAAGGAAUAAGUUUCCACAGAUGAUUAUACAAUUGUGACGAGUAUAGUAUCAAGGAGUCAUAUAUGACUCUAGAAAACAAUCAAUGUUUUUAUUUUGCCCAGGAGUAUCCAGAAAUAACAGAACAACUAGAACCAGAUAAGCAAAUGCUGAUAGAGAGAAUCGUCAA
rnacentral:lncRNA from 1 species